rnacentral:misc_RNA from 1 species
GGUGCGGCCAACCGACAUGGGGCUGUCUCUUCACUCUCCCUCCCGUCAUUUGAUUUGUCGGGGCUGGGAUGCUCGUGAUCGGUUGCCUGUGCGGCUCUACCCUGCUGUGGGUAGCGAAGUUGUCCCUCGAUUGAUAUUUGCUGCCUCUCUGACAUUUUUUUGUCGUUUUGGCAGCCGAAAUGAUGGCGAAAUCCUUGUGCAGGUGCGUGGUCGAAUGUCCCCGUAGCUGUAACUUGGAAUUUUGCUGGCUCUCACGGACGCAGUGCCCAGUGCUGGCUCUGCGUGGCUUUGCCCCGCAGACUUCGGGAGGUCCCUUGUACGAAUCACUGCGAUCAGAUGCCGUUUGUCGUGUUGCUUGUUUGGCACGCAAAUCGUAUUGUUCUGUCCGGAGUCGGGAUGACGAAAGUCAGAACGAAGUGUCUGGGGCGUGCUUGCGUACACGGGGAAUGCCUCUCCGAUCGUACGAGCAGCGAUUUCCGGCUCGCGUCCUGCGAAGGCCCGCCCGUCCGGGCCGGUGCCGGAGCUG